GAGCAAAGAUGAAAAUUUGCUCUAAAUUGUGAGCGGAUGGGUCGUCACGCUCAUCUGAUCUCAGAUGAAAUAAUGUGCAUUUGAGCUC